rnacentral:rRNA from 1 species
GCAGGCUUAACACAUGCAAGUCUGAACGCCCCGCAAGGGGAGUGGCAGACGGGUGAGUAACGCGUGGGAACAUACCCUUUGGUUCGGAACAACUCGGGGAAACUCGAGCUAAUACCGGAUAAGCCCUACGGGGGAAAGAUUUAUCGCCGAAGGAUUGGCCCGCGUCUGAUUAGCUAGUUGGUGAGGUAACGGCUCACCAAGGCGACGAUCAGUAGCUGGUCUGAGAGGAUGAUCAGCCACAUUGGGACUGAGACACGGCCCAAACUCCUACGGGAGGCAGCAGUGGGGAAUAUUGGACAAUGGGCGCAAGCCUGAUCCAGCCAUGCCGCGUGAGUGAUGAAGGCCUUAGGGUUGUAAAGCUCUUUUACCCGGGAAGAUAAUGACUGUACCGGGAGAAUAAGCCCCGGCUAACUUCGUGCCAGCAGCCGCGGUAAUACGAAGGGGGCUAGCGUUGUUCGGAUUUACUGGGCGUAAAGCGCACGUAGGCGGACUUUUAAGUCAGGGGUGAAAUCCCAGAGCUCAACUCUGGAACUGCCUUUGAUACUGGAAGUCUUGAGUAUGGAAGAGGUUGGUGGAACUGCGAGUGUAGAGGUGAAAUUCGUAGAUAUUCGCAAGAACACCAGUGGCGAAGGCGGCCAACUGGUCCAUUACUGACGCUGAGGUGCGAAAGCGUGGGGGAGCAAACAGGAAUUAGAUACCCUGGUAGUCCACGCCGUUAAACGAUGGAUGCUAGCCGUUGGACAGCAUGCUGUUCAGUGGCCGCAGGUAACCCUUUAAGCAUCCCGGCCUGGGGAAGUACGGGUCCGCAAGAUUUA